CUCGUAUCUCGUUCAAUUAUUUGAUCAAACGUUGUUUUGAAAAUAUUAGGUACAUAUUUUAUGUAGUUAAGGUUAAAAUACAAUGUCAAAUGAAAAAGAAAAUAACGUACCAACAGAAAAUAAAAAGAGAGCAAGCUCCGAAAAUAAUGCAAGAAUGCAAAAUCCUGUCAAGAGAAGAAAAAGAUCUGGAAAGUCUUAUAGUGAAGUUUUUGAUUUUUUUUACAAUAAAAAUUGUAAAAUGGCCAAAUGUUUUGAUCAUUUAAAGGAGUAUGAAUGUCUAUGUGGAGUUUUGAGCAUUCCCUCAGUUGAAAAAUUCAGUCAAGAAGAAAUGUGGAUAAAAACGGACGAGUGGGUAGCAGCAAAAUAUCUACCUUACAAUUUUUUUGAUGACACUAAAACUUAAAAUUUUUUCGACUUUUUGAAUCCUCAAGCAAAAAUGCCCAAGCUAAAUGGAUUAAAAAAAUUAGUAGAAGAUUCUUUUAAUUGCAAACAACGAUCUGUUAUGCACAUUUUGAAAAAUAAUUAUUCGAAAAUUUCUUGCAUUGUGGAUGGAUGGUCAUCAAUUGCUGGCCGUUCAUAUUAUUGUAUUACUGGACAUUUUAUCCGCGAAGAUUGGACAUUACACUCUUUGUUGAUAGAUUUUUGCCUUCGAAAGGAGAACAUACUGGUCGGGAUAUUGCUUCUUUAUUUCACAAAACAGUCAAGGCUUAUGAUGUUGUUGAUAAAAUCCUGGGUAUUACAGUAGAUAACACUGCCUCAAACGCAACCUUCAUGUGGGAGUUGUCAAAACUUUUGGAAUUUGAUCACGUAAAUCAACAUUUUAUAUGCAUCGCUCAUAUUUUAAAUCUUGUGGCUCAAUAUUUACUUAAAGAUCUCAAUUUAGAAGAUGUUUUUAUGGAAGAAGAAGAAGAAGAAGAAGAAGAAGAAGAGGAGGAGGAUAUUGAUGAAAUUACUGAAGGAUUAGACGAAGAAGACUUGGAAGUCAUCUCAUCCAAUUUUCGAACGGAAUCGCCUCUUUCAAAGUUGAGAAAACUUUUCAAAUUUUUGAAAAAAUCGGAAAAGUAGAGGAAUAAGAGAAUCUGUUGUUAAUCAACCAAUAUAAAAAUGCUCUCUCCUAAUGUAGACGUAUGUACCAGAUGGAAUUCAACAGCGGAUAUGAUCAUCUUAGGACUUUAAAUGCAAGCUGGAAUCGAUUUACUGUUUCAGAAUAACGAGUCUUUGAAACAUUUAUCCCUGGAUGAGGAAGAAUGGUUGAUUCUGAAGAAAGUAUGCAAGUAUUUGCGUUAUUUCAAAUCACUUUCCACUAUUUUUAGUGGUGAUAAAUACGUGACAUUGUUAUACGUUAUUGUCGGAUUCAAUAUGCUUCUUGACAAAUUAGAAGAGUCGAUUGUAAAUUUAAGAAGUGAAACAUCCACCGUAGACAAAAGAAUUCUUCAAGCUCUUGAGGCUGCUGAUAAGAAACUUCGGAAACAUUAUAAUCGAACCCAUUGGAUUUAUUGCGCAGGAAUUAAUUUUAGAUCCCUGAUUUAAGAUGGAACAAUUCAAAAAAACAACAUGGGGCAAAGAAAUGUUAGCCCAUUCAGCAAAAACGUUUGAGAAUAUUUACAGAACAAAUUAUUACGUUCCAGAAAAAAAUCUUGUAAAUACUGCUAACUUAUCAACAACCUAUCAGAAUGAAUUGGAUGAUGCUAUUGCAGCCGAUGUUGAUGAUGAUGAUGACGAUAUCUUAGAUGUAAAAUCUUUUUAUAAAAGUGAUUAAAAAGUCUCACUCCGUCAAUGCUCGUACAAAUCAUUGUAGAAACAAAAUUGAUCUUUAUUUAAAAGAAACAAGAGCGAAUGGAGAUGUAAAUAUUUUGGAAUGGUGGAAACAACACCAAAAUCUGUAUCCGAAUCUUAGAAAAAUGGCUAGAGAUUAUUUAUCCAUCCAAGCCACAUCGGUCCCAUCUGAGCGUGUUUUUUCGAAAAGUUCGCUUAUAAUAAGAAAACACAGAAAUCGAUUGAGUGACGAAUACGCGAGAUAUCUUAUGACUUUAAAUUCUUGGGUGACCUGUUCCUUGGCCGAAAAAAUUAAAGAAAAUGAAAAAAUUUUGAACAAAUAAUCAAUUGAAUUAAUUUCCUAAAUAAAUCAAUUAUUACUUACUGAUUGAUUAAAUUAAAAAACACAAUAAUAUUAUCAUAUUAUUUUUAAAUUUUUUGCUGACUAUCAA